GCACUUUACAACCACUGCACUACCUGACUCAGGAAUCGGCUCUGGAAGGUGAAGCUAGAGGAACCAGACCUCAUCAGCCCAACAUCAAAGACACCAUCGGAACAGCAGCGCCCGCAGCACCCACCCCGCACCGGCGACUCCAUCUUCAUGGCCACCCCCUGCGGCGGACGGUUGACCACCAGCCACCACAUCAUCCCAGAGCUGAGCUCCUCCAGCGGGAUGACGCCGUCCCCACCACCUCCCUCUUCUUCUUUUUCAUCCUUCUGUCUCUUUGUUUCUGAGCUUUCCUGUCUUUCCUUUUUUCUGAGAGAUUCAAAGCCUCCACGACUCUGUUUCCCCCGUCCCUUCUGAAUUUAAUUUGCACUAAGUCAUUUGCACUGGUUGGAGUUGUGGAGACGGCCUUGAGCCUCACCCUGCCCUCGCCUAGUCUGGAAGCUCCGACCGACAUCACGGAGCAGCCUUCAAGCAUUCCAUUACGCCCC
rnacentral:lncRNA from 1 species